CAGAAACUGAUGCAAAGGAUCAAAAAAAGAAAAAAAAGAAGAAGAAGAAAAAGAAGAAGUCUGAAGACUAAUCUAUUUUGAGUCAACAUAAUAUUAGCUUGAUUUGUGCAUAAAACUACCUUUUUGAUUUAUUUUGAAAUCGCCCUUUUCUGUUAC
rnacentral:ribozyme from 1 species